GUUUAAUUUGGUUAGCAAUCAACGGAAGUUAUAUAUGGGGCCCAUUUCUUAGAGACAUGGUAAACAGUAUCUCCUUACGAGAACAAUUCAUUCACAAAUAGCUGCAAUAUUCACCUAUACUAAGCUUGAAACUUGUGAUCCCACUAUACGCUUUGCGCUCUUACAGUUUACGGUUUAGAGUUUAGAGUUUGCAACUGGACAAUCUUUUUGAAUUGGCUGUAUCAGUAACUCCGGGAA